AGAACAAUCUGAGCUAAGCUUCUGACUAGAGCAACUGGUUCCAUCACAAGAAAGAAAAGUACCAAGAGCUAUUAACAAAGUGCUGGAGUCCAGAAAUGGCAUUUACAAAGCUGGAGCAGACAGAACUGAAUUCUGGGAGGAAGAAAGAGAGUCAGAGAGAGCCGCCAUAGAGCCGCCAGGUCAGACAUGCUGAAUCUUUCCCGGGCUUCACAGAACUUUUCUAGUAGACCGAAUUACCUGGCCGGCCGAUGGUGUCUUGUUCUCCAGUACUGCAUCAGCCUCUCUAACUGCAGCUACGAUUCUGGCAAACACGCUUGUAUUUUCACCACCCGCUUCAUGAGGACACUCCUCCAGCACACAAGGGUUCCGGUUAAACAUUUGGAAAAACGGUGUGUUCUUAGUAGGCUCUGAGCGUGUCACAUUGAAGGCAAAGGAAACCGCUGGCAGGUGUUCAUCCCAGGUGUUGGGGUGCUCGGCACAGUAUUUGGAGAGAAAGGCUUUGACUGUGCUCGCUGUACUCUCAGAUGCAUGGACACUUCCAGAAGCAUGAGAAAUUACAAUCUGUUUUGUACCGAACAAUCUAUACAGUUCUGCAUUGAUCUGAAACAUACAAAAAACAAAACUGUUCAAUACUCGUAUAAUUCCUCUGGCUUAAAAAAGGUUUCAAGAAACCCAACUCUUGUCUUUCACUGACCACAGGCAUUCAGCUAAAAUAUGUAAGCAUUCUGGGUAGAAUUCCACUGACUGGGUCCUUACUAAAUGCCGAUCAACACAUUAGGUGUUAUUUUUUGUUACUACACGUCAGGAUGACUUUAUGGUGUAUUAUUAACUCAAUCUUAAAGGCACGAGCUUAAGCUUUGGGAGUCUAAGCACCUAAUAUACACGUACAACAGGAAAUGGAAGGGCAGAGUUCCAAACGAACUUUGUGGUCAAGUAACUUUCAAUUCAGUAGACUGUUUUUUUUUUUUUUCUCAAGAAACCACGAGGCCACAUGACACAGUCACUAAGCUUCUGCACUCAGUUUCCUCAUUUCUAAGUUGAGAACAAGCCUACCCACAGCUGCCUAGGGGUGCUCACAAAGUAAUGCUUGUGAGAUACCAAAUAGUUCUCAAUAAAGAGUACGGAAUUUAUAGAAUUUAACGGCAAUUACUAUCGCUGUUAUGAUAAUAUUUUUUAUGGCCAGGACUUCAAAAGGAAUUCAGUCUGAGUUUAGGACACUUUAAUAGUAAGUCUUUCAAACACAGAACAACUAUUUUCCUGCCUUGAUGCUCCCCUAUUCUCUGUUAUUUUCAUUUCGUUAACCUUCAGCUAAUAAACUUCUCUUUGGAAGAAUA